ensembl:snRNA U6 U6 spliceosomal RNA
GUGCUUGCUUUGGCAGCACAUAUACUAAAAUUGGAAUGAUAUAGAGAACAUUAACAUGACCCGUGCACAAGAAUGAUAUGUAAAUUCAUGAAGCAUUCAUAUUUUUA